AGAUGUGAGGGUGUUCUGGCUGUAACAUCUGUCACCCCAUUGACAGCCAGGGUUGAUUUGGCUGAUGUGGCUGGCUAGGCAGGUGUCCCCAGUAUCUCCUUCCUCCCUCACUGCUCCAUGUGCAUCUCUCCAGAAACUUAGCCCUCAGUGGAAGAGGAUGGUCUUUCCUGAAUAGAGACGGGUAGCUGUGGUCCCCUGCUAGAACCUCCAAACAAGCUCUCAAGGAAAAAAAAAUGUUAAGGAAUAUAGUCUGUACUGUUUAUAUAUUCCCUGUUCCUUACACGAAAACCUCAGUGUUUUUUUAAGG
rnacentral:snRNA from 1 species